UAGUCAAACCAAAGGCAAUACAAGUUACAGUGCUGAGAUUACAUUUGCAAAGCUUAACUGUCCAGUGAGAUCCAACAGUCUGCCUUUGCGACCCUGGAGCCGGCGUGGUUUGGGGACGCUGAAGAAGCCACAGGCAGCCGGCCUGGACUGGAAUCACUGAAAAGACGCCCCAGAAGACCUCAGGGUGUAAAAGAACUGCCCUCCCAAGAGAAGAAGCAAGUUGGAGAUUGCACAGCACCUUCUCUGAACGUUAUACACAGACGUGGCCAGUCUGACAUAAAAGAAGUGCUACCCAAAGACCCUAGCAGCCCUGCCAUUCAUUGAAACAAGGAGACUGAGCCUAUGUAAAGUCCAUCAACGAAAGACUGCUUUGGCUCCACACUGGAAAGGCCCUUUCCAAGUCCUGUUAACCACCAACAUGGCUGUGAAGAGCCAAAGACUACCUGUUGUCAGAUGCUACUGGUGUGGUGCUUCUGCUUUCUCCUGUUGAUAUCACUCGGCUGCGUGCAUGUGUUCCCUCUGUGUGCUGCCCCAGCUCUGCGCAG